GUAAAUAAACCCCCGUGUGCUCAUCACCCCGCUUCAACAAUGAUCAGUAUUUUGCGUGCCUUGUUUUUGUGAAAACUUUUAAACCUACGUAAUGUCUGAAAAUAGGAGAACAGGUGAAUACAUGCGGGUACAUUUAUUUACAGUGCUAUGAACUUUUAAAAUCACAGAAUUGUAUAUAUGGUAUUAUCGCACAUUUGAAAAUUCAAAAACUAACCUCCCGUCUGUGUAGAAAAAGAGAUAGAAAGGAAACACAAGAGUAUGUUAACUAGUUUCCCUUUGAUGGUGGGACAGUGGAUGAUUUCUUCCCCUUCUGUUUUUAGCUAGAACUAUCCCAUAAAAAUUGUAUAUUGUUGUUAAAACCAAGAACCAACAAGCAAAAUCUAAAAGCACUGCACCUGAGCUAAGCACAAAGAAUAUGCCAGAACGGGUUCACUGUUACAGAGAAUAAAGAUGAUCUAUUUUUGCAGCCUAUGCUCGUGUAUGCCAAGAAGUCUUUUCACACAGAUGUCCUUAGAGAUAAUAUGGAUCAGUCCGGAGUUCUCCUCUGGGUGAAAGCAGAACCCUUUAUAGUGGGUGCCUUGCAAGUCCCCCCUCCAUCCAAGUUCAGUCUUCACUAUCUCAGGAAGAUAUCCACCUAUGUGCGAACCCGGGCCACAGAGGGGGCUUACCCACGCCUGUACUGGUCUACGUGGAGGCACAUUGCAUGUGGGAAGCUGCAGUUGGCCAAGGAUCUGGCGUGGCUUUACUUUGAAAUAUUUGAUAGUCUUGCAGUGAAGACACCAGAAGAGCGCCUGGAAUGGUCCGAGCUUCUGUCCAACUGCAUGUCUGAGGAUGAAGUCGAAAAGCAAAGAAAUCAGCUUUCAGUGGACACCCUACAGUUUCUGCUCUUCUUAUAUAUACAGCAGUUAAACAAGGUUUCCCUGAGGACAUCUUUGAUUGGAGAAGAGUGGCCUAGUCCCAGAAAUAGAUCUCAGUCUCCUGACUUGGCUGAAAAAUCCAGUUGCCAUAAUAAGAACUGGAAUGAUUACAGUCACCAAGCAUUUGUCUAUGAUCAUCUGUCAGACCUCCUUGAGCUGCUUUUAGAUCCAGAACAACUCACUGCAUCAUUUCAUUCGACCCAUAGUAGUCUCGUCUCUCGACAAGCUGUUGUGGCCCUCAGCUUUCUGAUUGAAGGUACAGUGAGUGGAGCCAGGAAGAUAUAUCCACUUCAUGAACUUGCACUGUGGCAACCACUACAUGCAGAAAGUGGCUUCUCAAGGCUCUCUAAGACCUUUUCUUUCUACAAGCUGGAAGCCUGGCUGAGAACCUGUUUGACUGGGAAUCCAUUUGGUACAUCUGCCUGCCUCAAGUCUGGAAAGAAAUUGGCUUGGGCUCACCAAGUUGAAGGGACGACCAAAAGAGCUAAGAUUGCUUGUAAUACUCAUGUGGCCCCUAGGAUGCACCGCAUGGUGGUGAUGAGCCAGGUUUACAAGCAGACCUUGGCCAAGAGCUCAGAUACUCUGGUGGGGGCACACGUAAAGAUUCAUCGUUGCAACGAAUCUUUUAUAUAUCUGCUGUCUCCCUUACGAUCUGUGACCAUUGAGAAGUGCAGGAAUAGCACAUUUGUCUUGGGCCCCGUACAGACUGCUCUUCACCUCCACAGCUGUGACAACAUUAAAGUCAUUGCUGCCUGCCACCGUUUGUCCAUCUCUUCCACAGCAGGUUGCGUCUUUCACAUUCUGACGCCUACACGCCCACUUAUUCUCUCUGGAAACCAGACAGUAACUUUGGCCCCUUUUCACACCCAUUAUCCAAUGCUGGAGGAUCACAUGGCCAGGACCGGCCUUGCUACAGUGCCUAACUAUUGGGAUAAUCCAAUGAUUGUGUGCAGAGAGAGCAGUGACACAAGUGUCUUCCGACUCUUACCACCUUGUGAAUUCUAUGUAUUUAUUAUCCCCUUUGAAAUGGAAGGGGAUACGACAGAGAUACCUGGGGGGCUUCCGUAUGCAUAUCAGAAAGCACUGCGUCAAAGAGAGCAGAAGAUACAAAUCUGGCAGAAAACUGUGAAGGAGGCUCGUUUGACAAAGGAUCAGAGGAAGCAGUUCCAGGUACUCGUGGAGAACAAGUUUUAUGAGUGGCUGAUUAAUACAGGACAUCGCCAACAGCUGGACAGUCUGGUGCCCCCUGCCGCAGGCUCCAAACAAGCAGCAGGAUAAGACUCCUACGUGGAAACACUGGGCUCUGGAAACAGGAGGAUGAAUGGACGAUGUGUUUCCUUUCUUUUGGGAUGUUUCCUCUUUUCCAAUGUACCUAAUGAUACAUCGAAAGAAAUGUGGAGAAAAACUUUUGCUUCUAUGCCUGAAGGUAAGUAUGAUAGUGUUUUAAAGGUUGCGAAUAGGAGAGAAGGUUAAGAAAUGCUUAUUAUAUUUUCUACUGUAGCAAAAUUACCCAACAGUUUAUUAAGGGUUUAUCUGUAUGUGUUACCAUGUUCAGAAUUGUACAGGUAUAUAAUGUGUUCAUAUCAUCAUGAUUUCUGCCUUCCAGCAACUCCUAUGAAUUUCCACAGGAAUAGGACAUACUGAUAAGAGGAGUACAUGGAGUAGAAAACUUUUAGUGUUCAGUUAAAAGUCCACUCUGUGAAAUUUAGGCUCCAUCAGUGAUGUCCUAAAAGACUAAUCAAGUGAAUUAAAUCCUAUAUAUCCCUUUCAUUCAAGCAGUUAUUUUUAUCCCUUUCCUGAAAUAAAGUGCUUAUUUACGUUAGGAAAAUUGUCUCUAAAAUGUUUGAUUCACAGUUGUUGGACCAGAAAUCGAUCUUUUAGGCAGGGCUUUAGAAAUGAGGGUAUGUACCUUCAUUCUAUUAUUUUAGCUCUUCUGCUCACCAGUGAAUCUAAGGCAAAGCCAUCGGUGCCUGAUUUCCACAGCAACCCCCCUCAACUUGUUACUUUGAAAAGUUUCAAACCCAAUGAAUCUUGAAAGAAUGAGAAAGAAAUGUUGAAUGAAUACUUCUAUAUCCCUUACUUAUAUUCUCUGGUUGUUAGCAUUUUGCUGUAUUUGGUCUCUCUGUCUCUUUGUACUAAACCAUUUGACAAUAAAUAGCAGGCUUAAUUCUUUUGCCCUAAGUACUUAGUCACGUUUCUCCAAAAACAAGGGUAUGCUCCUAUAUAAACAUAAUACCAUCUUGUCUCCCAAACUUGUCAUAAAUACCAAAUAUUCAGACUAUAUUCACAUUUCCCCCAGUCGCUUCCCCAAAUGUGCUUCAUGGCUGGUUUUCCCCUGAUACAGGAUCUAAUCAAGGACCAUGCAUUGCAUUUGGUUGCCAUGUUUCUUUAAACUUUUUUCCUUUAGCCUCUUUUGUAUGAAACAGUCACCCUACUUUUUGUUGGUGUUUGAGACACUGACAUUUUUCUAAGUCCAGACCAGGUGUCUAGUACAAAGUCCUGAGACCUGGAUUUACCUGAUUGUUUCCUCAUGUUUAGAUUCAGACUAACCAUCUUUGGCCAGAAAGUUACAUAGGCAACAGCAAAUAUUUCCCAUCACAUCAUGUCAGGAGGCACCUGUUAACUCAUUCCAUAAUUGGUUAGUGCCUCACUUUUUUCCACUUGGAAAAUAGAAUAAUCAUACUUGUUAUCUAAAAGAUUUGGGGAGAAAAAAUGAGACCGUGUCUUUAGUGCUCUGAGGUUCUUGGAAGUAUGCCAUGCAAAUCCCAUUGAAAAGAAUUUGAAGUCCUUAGAGAAAUCCGUGUGCCUUGAUGUAAGACUAUUACAACUGGACCCCCUUAGAUGAAUAUAUCCCCCGUUUUCAAAGAUUUCCAGAGUAGUACUAGUGUGCUCUCUUUUAUUUCUUGUAGCUGGGCUGUUCGCGUGGUUAACUAACUUGCUUGCUAGGCCAAAAGAGCAAGUUAUCUCUUACCCUUUGUCUAUUGCAUUUUCCUUUCCCUCCAUCUUACUAGAAGUUUAAUCAGAGAGUUAUGGGAUUGGCAAAAACAAUGCAUGGUACUAAGUUUGGUUUUCUUACCUUUGGAAUACGUGGCAUUUUUCUUUCUAUUGUAUUGGAUUAGUAGACUACUUUUCAAGAACUAAGUGGGAAGGAGAGGAAUUUUGUAAUGAUUUCUAGGGAAAUCUCCUGCACUAUUUCUUAGCCUUUCUAUAAAAUUUUUUGCCCAAGAAUCUCAGCUGACUAUACAGUAGAUGUCAUGGUCCUUCUACAAAUGGAAAUUGAGUAGAGGUACAACAUUCUCUGGGCUCUGAGAUUUGGAAGGUCCCCCGCUGAAAGGAGAGUUUGGUUCUGGAGCUCAGUAAAGGCUCCAUGGCAACACUGUACUUUGUUUCAGCCUUGGGCUGGUUGGCUAGUCUGCUAGAGGGUAGACAGCAAGGUUGCCUUCUAGAACAUCGUAUAUUUUCCACCUUUCGAUAUAGAUGUUAGCCAGGCAAAUGUGCAGUGGGCACUAAGUGUGGGAAACAUUGAACUAAGAAAAAGUGAUAUUAACUUUAUUUCUACAGCAUAGCCCUUGCAAAGGCUCUUUUAUGGUAAACAGUUGACCAAAAAGCCAAAGGUAAAUUGAAUCAAGGCUGAAUUAAGGAAUAUAGAAUCUAUUUUAUUUUUUAGAGAAGUUACCUUGAUUUUCCUAAAGAUUUUUCCACAGGCUUUGGGAAAAGCAUCUCAGCCUCAGGAUCAGUCUUGUUCCCUUACUAAAAGAGUAAGUGCUGUGCGUUGCACAGAACUAGCUGUGCAGGCAGGAGACCGCAAAGGGAGAUAAGAUAAAAUGAAUCACACGUUACUAACCGGGAGCUUUGCACUGCCAACCACUCCCUUGCCUGCACCUAACUUGUACCUAGCUAUUGGCCUUAGGCAAGGCAUUUAACUUCUUCAUCUGUACCAACAGUAGCAAAAGUUUAUUGGCGAUUAUGAGCCAGAUUACACUAAGUGCUUUAUAGGCAUUUUCCCAUGGAACCUCAGGACAACCCUCCGCAGAGGAUACUGGAUCACAGUUUUACGACUCUGGAUACUGUGAUCCAGUUUUACAAAUGAAGAGUCUGAGCUUUAGAGCGACGUUCAAUGGCCUACCCAAGGUCACUGAGCUAGUAGUGCUGCAGUUUUGUUUUCAUCUAUAAACUGGGGUACCGUGUGUCUCCAGCUCUGUGCUAUGCUAAAAUGGGAAAUGGAGCUGGAAGAGAAAUUUGGAAGGGGAAGAAAGGAGAUGAAGCAGAUGAUUUAGGGGUGGGAAGGGCUCAGGAAGCUUGUAGGGAACAGGAAAUACAGGAGUGGAGAGAAAUACAAGAGUGGAAGAGUGGAGAGAGUAGCGUGGAUUAGGGUGGAAGGAAGCACCCAUCAGUAGGCUACAUCUAGAAGGCUCACCUGGGGUAGAAAACAAUGAGGUUUUAUGCCCUUUUACGAAUCAUUCUUGGUGUCUGCCUCUCCCUCAUUCAUUACAUCUGAUUAGUCACCAAAUUCUACAUUUCUUUUGACUGUUUCCUCAAUGUCCUUUAUACAGCAGUUGCCUUUUGGCCAGCCUGCCCCAUCUCUCACACACCCGCGGCAACCACCUGUUUCCACACACGAACCACUACCUUACAUCUCGCACAUAAUCACCAAAGAGAUUCCAGCAUGCCGCCGGUGUCUUCUGGCUUUAUUUCCUAUUAAUACUUCACCACAUGGUCCAUAUGCACCGAGCUUGAUGAACCACUUGUCCCUAUAAUGGGCCAUAUUCCUUUAUUCCUUUGAACAGGCCAUCCUUUCUUCUUUGCCCCUGGAAACCCUCUACUUAUCUUUCAAUCUUCACCUCAAAAAUCCUCUCAAGGCUACCUGGCUCUCCACUCCUUUUAUAUGAAAUGGUUGACAUUUUCUCCUUUGAAGCCGAUAAAGCAAAUUAGCCACGAGGUGGCAGCGUAACUCUAGGAAAUUAAGUGCUUGACUCCAUGACACCUGUGAUUUCUUUCACUUUACCUUCUGAACUCGCAUUCAUCUUGGAGUGUGGAAUUAUAGAACAAGAGGGGACAAACUCUGUAGUCCAUUUGGUCUAGUGGUUUUCAGAACCUGCUUCCUGAAGCCCCAGGAGUGGCUGGGGACUCUUCUCUCCUGUUGCAAACAGAAAAGUUUUACUGCACAGCCAGGGCUUUCCAUCUAGUCUGGUCCUCAGCUCUGACAAGUGUGAAGCUGGAGCCCAGAGAGCUAGCUUGCCUGAAGUCAUAAGGCCGACUGGAGAGAUGCAGCUCUAGAGGCCAGGUUUAUCAUU